AUAGUAGUGUCAGAGUUUGAUCCUGGCUCAGGAUGAACGCUAGCGAUAGGCUUAACACAUGCAAGUCGAGGGGCAGCAUAUUCGAAGCUUGCUUUGAAUGAUGGCGACCGGCGCACGGGUGAGUAACGCGUAUCCAACCUUCCCCUUACUGUGGAAUAACCUGCCGAAAGGCAGACUAAUACCGCACGCACUCAACAGAUGGCAUCAGGCGUUGAGUAAAGAUUUAUCGGUAAGGGAUGGGGAUGCGUCUGAUUAGCUUGUUGGCGGGGUAACGGCCCACCAAGGCGACGAUCAGUAGGGGUUCUGAGAGGAAGGUCCCCCACAUUGGAACUGAGACACGGUCCAA
rnacentral:rRNA from 1 species